rnacentral:rRNA from 1 species
GCGAAUCGCCCUUCGGGGUGCAGCAGGCGCGAAAACUUUACAAUGCGGGAAACCGUGAUAAGGGGACACCGAGUGCCAGCAUUAUAUACUGGCUGUCCAGGUGUGUAAACUACACCUGUUAGCAAGGGCCGGGCAAGACCGGUGCCAGCCGCCGCGGUAACACCGGCGGCCCGAGUGGUGAUCGUGAUUAUUGGGUCUAAAGGGUCCGUAGCCGGUUUGGUCAGUCCUCCGGGAAAUCUGACGGCUCAACCGUUAGGCUUUCGGGGGAUACUGCCAGGCUUGGAACCGGGAGAGGUAAGAGGUACUACAGGGGUAGGAGUGAAAUCUUGUAAUCCCUGUGGGACCACCUGUGGCGAAGGCGUCUUACCAGAACGGGUUCGACGGUGAGGGACGAAAGCUGGGGGCACGAACCGGAUUAGAUACCCGGGUAGCCCCAGCCGUAAACGAUGCUCGCUAGGUGUCAGGCAUGGCGCGACCGUGUCUGGUGCCGCAGGGAAGCCGUGAAGCGAGCCACCUGGGAAGUACGGCCGCAAGGCUGAAACUUAAAGGAAUUGGCGGGGGAGCA